GGAGUUAGCCGGUGCUUCUUCUGUGAGUGAUGUCCUUCCUGCCGGCUAUUAACCCGCAGGCCUUCUUCCUCACUGAAAGUGCUUUACAACCCGAAGGCCUUCUUCACACACGCGGCAUGGCUGGAUCAGGGUUGCCCACAUUGUCCAAUAUUCCCCACUGCUGCCUCCCGUAGGAGUCUGGGCCGUGUCUCAGUCCCAGUGUGGCUGAUCAUCCUCUCAGACCAGCUACGGAUCGUCGCCUUGGUGAGCCGUUACCUCACCAACCAGCUAAUCCGACAUAGGCUCAUCCGAUAGCGCGAGGCCCGAAGGUCCCCCGCUUUCCCCCGUAGGGCGUAUGCGGUAUUAGCCUGGGUUUCCCCAGGUUAUCCCCCACUACCGGGCAGAUUCCUAUGCAUUACUCACCCGUCCGCCGCUCGCCACCAGGGAGCAAGCUCCCCGUGCUGCCGCUCGACUUGCAUGUGUUAGGCCUGCCGCCAGCGUUCAAUCUGAGCCAGGAUCAAACUCUGA
rnacentral:rRNA from 1 species